GUGAAUCAUCAAAUCUUUGAACGCAAAUUGCACUCUCUUCGGAGCGUAUGAGUGUUUGAGGGUCAGCCUAAAUAAAAACGACAUCGUUGCUGUUUCGCGGUGGCGUUCGUCGGUAAUUGGGUUAUCUUAAAUCUUUGGUUUAAGUGACUUAAAUUUUUUUUUACGAUUCUAUGAAUGUUUCCAAGAUUUUUUUUUUUUCAUGUUUAAGGUUUCGCUUUUAUUAGGCGUGUUCGU
rnacentral:misc_RNA from 1 species